AGAUUUCUUCGGAAUGAAGUUUUAGUGACUGAGCGGCGGACGGGUGAGUAACGCGUGGGUAACCUGCCUCAUACAGGGGGAUAACAGUUGGAAACGGCUGCUAAUACCGCAUAAGCGCACAGUACCGCAUGGUACGGUGUGAAAAACUCCGGUGGUGUGAGAUGGACCCGCGUCUGAUUAGCUGGUUGGUGAGGUAACGGCCCACCAAGGCGACGAUCAGUAGCCGACUUGAGAGAGUGAUCGGCCACAUUGGGACUGAGACACGGCCCAAACUCC
rnacentral:rRNA from 1 species